GAAUUUUAUAUAAAUUUAUUAUUUGAUUUAUUAUAUAAUAUAUUAUUAAAUUUAUAUUUUAUUGGGAGGAUAAUUAAAUUAUAUAAACUUUAAUAUUAUAAAAUCAUUAAUUUAUGAAUUAAGUGUUUAAGGAAUGGUUAAAUUAAUUUAAAUAGAAUUAAUUACCUUAGGGAUAACAGCGUAAUAUUUUUAGAGAGAUCUUAUUAAUAAAAAUGAUUGC
rnacentral:rRNA from 1 species